GAUGAACGCUAGCGGCAGGCCUAAUACAUGCAAGUCGAACGGUGUAGCAAUACACAGUGGCGCACGGGUGCGUAACACGUAUGCAACCUACCUAUCAUUGGGGGAUAGCCUUUGGAAACGGAGAUUAAUACCGCAUAAGACAGUAACAUGGCAUCAUGUAGCUGUUAAAGUUUCGGCGAUGAUAGAUGGGCAUGCGUCCAAUUAGUUAGUUGGUGAGGUAACGGCUCACCAAGACGAUGAUUGGUAGGGGAUCUGAGAGGAUAAUCCCCCACACUGGCACUGAGAUACGGGCCAGACUCCUACGGGAGGCAGCAGUAGGGAAUAUUGGGCAAUGGACGGAAGUCUGACCCAGCCAUGCCGCGUGCAGGAUGAAGGCGUUAUGCGUUGUAAACUGCUUUUUUAUAGGAAGAAGAAUCCCUUGCGAGGGAAAGUGACGGUACUAUAAGAAUAAGCACCGGCUAACUCCGUGCCAGCCGCCGCGGUAACAC
rnacentral:rRNA from 1 species